CCCUCCAAUUGUACACUUGGUUGCGCCCAUACUCAACGCAAGUUCGUUGAUAUAUUUUAGCAGCUCAGUCUGUAAGAAAUGGAGACAGCAGCCAAGCGUAGAAAAGUGCAGCAGAACAUUCAAGCUUUUUUUCAGGCAGUGAGUAACUAGAUCCCUAAAUAGUAGGUAACCUUACCUUAGCAUAGAAGGCAUCAUACCAUGGCUUGAUUUGUUCUUAAGAACGUCAAUUAACUUUUGAUAUUUGCACACCCACGAAGUAGGCUAGGCUAACGUCAGUUCCGGUUUUUGACCAUUAACGUUACAUUCACUUGCAUAUCCUCCCGCCGAGUUCGUUGUGAACCCUCACGUUGUGACAGGCUGUUAAAAAUGCGAGUGAAAUGGCUGGCCGAGGGAGAGGACGUGGCAGAGGAAGAGGCUGUGGAAGAGGUGGACCGAUAAAUCAUUUAAGCGCCUCUCCUUUUUCCAGCUGCUCACUGACGCUAGCUUCUUCCUCAUCCUCAUGGUUAGAACACUCUGGUUCACUCCUCAUGGUCGUCCCAGCGUUGUUUAAAAUUGCCGAGCAAAGUUUUAGAGCAACGUGAUUCGCUUCCUGUCUGAUUUACCCUCAUAUUUCCAUCAGGCCCACCAGGGCCAUGAAGUUGCUGGUGAAUCAUCGCAAAGGAUUCAUGGUUGUCCUCAUCAUGGUCACCUUCACAAGGAGACUUGCAUUUCCUUUUGGCUUUUUUUGCAGGCUGCUGACUGGCACCAGCUUCUUCCUCAUCCUCAUGGUUAGAACACUCUGGCUCACUGUCUGUCUGAUUUACUAUUGGAUUUUCAUCAGGACUAUCAGGGAUGGACGGUUGGUUGUAAAUCAUCACAAAGGUUUCGUAGUCGUUACUGCCAUUAUCACCUUCACAAGACAACUUAACUUGCACUUUAUGUUCGCCUGUUCCAAAGCUGGGCAUUGUUUGUUAACACGCUGAAGAUUAGCCAUAUCACCAAAGCCCGGUGAUAUUUCAAGAUCAAAUUUUUCUGAAGAGCCAAGCCUUGUUUUUUUUUUUUUGCAGGAUGCUUACCGAAGGCAUCUCCUUGCCCAACCUCAUCAGCAUAAGGCCCCGAUAUUGUAAGAUGUUUUACAUCUGAUAAGCCAAGCCUGGCUUUUUUUGCAGGCUGCUGACUGAAGGCAGUUUGUUCCUCAUCCUCAUGGUCGUCCCAGCAUCGUUUAAGAUUGCCGAGCGAAGUUUUAGAGCAACGCGAUUGCUUCCUGUCUGAUUUACCCUCAUAUUUUCAUCAGGC